ensembl:lncRNA
UUUUUUUUAAAACCAAAACCUCUUAGAAUGGCUUUUAAAUUCCAUAAGUACUUUUCUCAGAAAGGGAUUUGGCAUAACAAAUAAGAGAGUAAAGAACUAAGAUUCAAAAUUCAUUUUUACAAAUCUAUCCUUAAAUCUUGGAUGAGAGCCAACAACCAACCUCAUAUUAGAAGGCUUGACUUGAAGAACAUGGGGAAAUUUACUUUACAUUGACAGCUUCAAGAACACCUAGUCUAUACAUCAUUAAAUAAGAUAUAUGGGAAGAAAAAAAGCAUAUGUGGAUAGCCCUGGUUUUAUUAUUUUCAAUGAAACAACGAUAUCGUGCAACCUUUGCCCAUAAAAGAAUGCAAAACAAAAAUUUUAAAAAAGAAAAAGAAACCUCUGGUGCCAACAUGUUGUAUAUUUACUUGUGUAGCCAUGACUGCUACCGGCUUUUUGAAGAGAACCGUGCAGCCAGUUUGGAUUCCGACAGCAAUGCAGUAGAAUUUAAGGUGUUAUGACUAAAAUAUGUCCUAAACAGGUUAAGCUAGACAUACAACAUUUUAAUACAGUAGUGUCGAGAUACUCAUUCCUGUGAAUACCGCAGGAGAAAUACAGGCGAGGAGGAAUCACACUGCCCUGGAUACACAUGAAUAUGCCAUCUCCCUGCCUAUCUCUACCCAACCCUACACACACCUAUCUUUACCACGCAGAGACAAUUAAACAGCCAUAGACUCGAUGCAUUUCUGUGUCCUUGUUCCCACUGGGUGAGUUAUUGCCAGCCUGACAUUUUUCCAAAUUCCCUACUAGUGGGCUAUAUCAGGUAGGAAAGCAGGGACUUUACUGACCUGGGACCCCAUCACUGUGGGUCUUGGGAGAUUUCAGUUUCCAAAUGAUACACGGCACCACCUAGCUAUUGUGACAGCUGGGAGAGUGGAUGUCACCAGCAGUAGAAAUAAAGUAUCCUGUUUCCUGAGGAAAACGCCCUGGCUGUGCGACGCUGACCAGGUGGGCACCAAACACUUCUCCGUGUGAUAUUUUUCUUCUUUUUUAAAGACUGCCCCCCGCCCCGCCGCAUCUCUCUAUACGUACACACCUCCAGAGUUCAUUCUAAAAGAACCAAUACAAAGACCAUCCAUCCUCUAGCCAUAAGGUUUUCAGUGCUUAAAUGUGGAAGGAGAAGCUCUAGCUAGCAUUGAAAGUUGUGGGGACAGGAAGAGGAAUCUGAUCAUUCAACACUAUUCUCCUUCAGGUCAGACAAGAGAAAAACAAUAGAAACUGCAGAGUCAGGGAGUACAAGACCCUUAUGGAACAGGUGCUAAGCAGAGAAGUAGUAUCAGAGGAUGGAAGCCCCUUUCAAAACCGGGUACACCAGCAAGCCCAGAACGCGUAACGGUUAUCCUAUUUCCCUGCCAUGUGCCUCAAAGCAACAUGCUCACUUCCACAUCCCCAUGUAAUGAGGCCAGAGGAAGGGGAAGCGAGAAUCCCUACACUGGGCCAUCCACACGCAGGAGCAGAACAGAGACUGUGCUCAGAGUUGCAGGGUCAAAAUAACAAACACUGUCCCACAGUCUCAGCCGGUGACAUCAAGUCAGGGCAGCGGCAGAUCUCUGGGUU